CUCUGAAACUGUAAGCUGCCACCUCAGUUAGAUAUUUUCUUUUGUAGGAGUUGCUGUGUCAUGGUGGCUCUUCCCAGCAAUGGAAACCAGAACUACGAUACUGAUUAUCCUGCUGUGCCCUCUACCUGCCUGCUCAUUAAGGAUGAGAAUGGACCAAUGGACAAGAGGCGUCUGUGAGAACAUGAUCUGUAUUUCUCUUCCACUUGCUGGAACUCCUCAGAACUCCUAGGCACUGCAGAUGCCUAUGAUGCCUAGAGGAACAUUGCAGAAGACAAGGCCAAAAGAACGCAAGAACCAGAAGCUAGGGAGAAGAAGGGCUUAUACAUGUCCUGGGUAAGACACAGCCAUUGCAAUCACAAAACCA